rnacentral:ncRNA from 2 species
UCAGGCAUAAGGUGUAAAGAAUCAGGGAAUGAAGAAGCGGAAAGAGGUGAAAAUCCUCUGCUGUCACGCAGCCGUGAAGGGAACGAAAACCCAACUAUAGCCACUGUCCUGAGCUUGUCGAAGGAUGGGAAGGCGGGUGAGUAGGCAGCCCUGAGCCGGAAGACCUCUCAUUCCCACAACCUCGAU